rnacentral:snRNA from 1 species
GUGCUCGCUUCAGCAGCACAUAUACUAAAACUGGAAUGAAACAGAAAAGAUUAGCAUUGCCCCUGCGCAAGGAUGACACGCAAAUUCAUGAAGCGUUCCAUAUUUUU